rnacentral:rRNA from 1 species
UACGUAGGGGGGCUAGCGUUGUCCGGAAUCAUUGGGCGUAAAGCGCGCGUAGGCGGCCCGGUAAGUCCGCUGUGAAAGUCAAAGGCUCAACCUUUGAAUGUCAGCGGAUACUGCCAGGCUAGAGUCCGGAAGAGGCGAGUGGAACUCCCUGGUGUAGCGGUGGAAUGCGCAGAUAUCAGGAAGAACACCAACGGCGAAGGCAGCUCGCUGGGACGGAACUGACGCUGAGGCGCGAAAGCGUGGGGAGCGAACAGG